GACGAACGCUGGCGGCGUGCCUAAUACAUGCAAGUUGAGCGCUGAAGGUUGGUACUUGUACCAACUGGAUGAGCAGCGAACGGGUGAGUAACGCGUGGGGAAUCUGCCUUUGAGCGGGGGACAACAUUUGGAAACGAAUGCUAAUACCGCAUAAAAACUUUAAACACAAGUUUUAAGUUUGAAAGAUGCAAUUGCAUCACUCAAAGAUGAUCCCGCGUUGUAUUAGCUAGUUGGUGAGGUAAAGGCUCACCAAGGCGAUGAUACAUAGCCGACCUGAGAGGGUGAUCGGCCACAUUGGGACUGAGACACGGCCCAAACUCAUACGGGAGGCAGCAGUAGGGAAUCUUCGGCAAUGGACGAAAGUCUGACCGAGCAACGCCGCGUGAGUGAAGAAGGUUUUCGGAUCGUAAAACUCUGUUGGUAGAGAAGAACGUUGGUGAGAGUGGAAAGCUCAUCAAGUGACGGUAACUACCCAGAAAGGGACGGCUAACUACGUG
rnacentral:rRNA from 1 species